rnacentral:rRNA from 1 species
UACGGAGGGUGCAAGCAUUAAUCGGAUUUAUUGGGCGUAAAGGGCGCGUAGGCGGCCAUGAAAGUCAGAUGUGAAAUCCCGGGGCUCAACCUCGGAACAGCAUUUGAAACUCCAUGGCUCGAGGGUAGGAGGAGAAAACGGAAUUCCACAAGUAGCGGUGAAAUGCGUAGAUAUGUGGAAGAACACCGGUGGCGAAGGCGGUUUUCUAUCUUAUUCCUGACGCUGAGGCGCGAAAGCAAGGGGAUCAAACAG